rnacentral:sRNA from 1 species
GAGUUUGCGGCAAACUUCGCGCAAAGUUUGCGUCAUUUUGCUAGCUGGGUACGCGCGCGCACGGUGUGUAUAUGUGUAAAAUGAACAUUUUAAACACUUUUGGGAUUUUCAUAAUUUGUUUUCUCUAUUAUGCAUUUUAAUUUUAUAAAAUUACAUUUGAUUAAUAAUUUUCAUUGUAAUUUAAUUUUAAUUAGUUUUCUUAGGGUGCGUUCCGUUAUUCACUGCAAGUACUGGCAGCACUACGUAAGCCGUUCCAAAAUACAUUACAGUGCACUGCGACAGCACUGUAAGAGAACAUCGACGUCAUAGAUUUUGUCGUCACUUCCUACUGUGGCUGCUGCGGCUGAAUAGCUGCAGUAAUCACAGUACAAAUAUGGCUACGAUGGCGGCGGAUAGAAAACUAACCUUGAUCGAUGCAGAAACUAAUAUAUCCUACGAAAUAAUAGUAAGCAGAGAAGACGAAGAAAGAGUGUCAACAGAUGUAGAAUUUGCAACUCAGCUACUUGAACAUGCAAAAUAAAGUGUAACGUCGAAAUCAUCUAAUGAACAAACUGAAGACGCUAUUACAUCUAAAGAUCAGCAUAAUUGGACAAAGCAGGAGACGAUGUUAUUAAUAGAUAUAUUCAAAUCUAAAGAAAUAGAUUUUCAUAGUGGAAAAAGUACACAAAAACAUUGUUGGGAGGCUGUUUCAAAAGAAAUGCAGAAAAGGGGAUAUAAAAUAAGUGGACAGAAAUGUUGCAUUAAAUGGCAAGCAAUGAAACGAACUUAUAAGGCAAUUAAGGACCAUAAUAAAAAAUCGGGAAAUAAUGCAAAAAAAUGGGAAUAUUAUGAUAUUAUGGAUAAUAUAUUCGGUGAAAAGCCAUGGAUAGAACCCUAUGUCAGUAGCUGGGACAACCUGUAACUCUAACAACUCUGAAAAUUUAGUUAAAGAAAAAAGUAGUGAACAAUCUGCAAAAAAGAGAAAAAUAAACAUGGACAAAUAUUUAGAAAAUUUGUUAGAAGAAAAACGAUUAAAACGUGAAGCAGAUGACAAAGAACAUAACGAAAAAAUUGAAACAGCUGGAAGGUAUAAGAAAAUUGUUAGAAAAGAUGGUUGAAAAAAAUUAGCCUUUUUCAAUAAAAAUAAAUCUUAGAAAUAUUGUGAUAUUAUGGAUAAUAUAUUUUAUUAAAAGCCAUGGAUAGAAGCUGGGACAACUUCUUGGAUUUAUUAGUGUGUUACUGGAAUAUUUUUCAAGUCUUUUUUAAAAUUAUAAGUUUUUUGAAGUUUAUUCGUUUACAUUUUAUUAAUAAUUUUAAAAUAAUUUUAAUUUUCUCGCAUUUAGUUUUGAGACGAUAAUUGCUCUCUGAUCGCUAUGCGAAAUUAACUGACUUUUAGUUUCGAUUCGUCUUAUCCGUAGUUUAAGUCUUAUAUGUGAUAUUUUUAUUUUUGUUUUUGUAUUGCAAAAAAUAAUACAUGUAUUGUCACUAUAAGGUUGUGAAGAAAAGACUGAAAAAAGACUACUGUUUAUGUGAAUAUAUAAUAUAUUUGUAAGAUACAAAUGUACACUAUGAAAUAUAAUAAUACAUUUAUAUAACUGAA